CCGGACGAAACACAGGUGCUGCAUGGCUGUCGUCAGCUCGUGUCGUGAGAUGUUGGGUUAAGUCCCGCAACGAGCGCAACCCUCACUUUUAGUUGCCAUCAUUAAGUUGGGCACUCUGAAAGAACUGCCAGUGAUAAGCUGGAGGAAGGUGGGGAUGACGUCAAGUCCUCAUGGCCCUUACGUGUUGGGCUACACACGUGCUACAAUGGUAUCUACAACAGGAAGCAAGACGGCGACGUUAAGCAAAUCCUUAAAAGAUACCUCAGUUCGGAUUGCACUCUGCAACUCGAGUGCAUGAAGCUGGAAUUACUAGUAAUCGUGGAUCAGCGUGCCACGGUGAAUGCGUUCCCGGGUCUUGUACACACCGCCCGUCACACCAUGGGAGUUGGUUCUACCUUAAGGCAAGGCUUUAAAACCUUGACCACGGUAUAGUCAGCGACUGGGGUGAAGUCGUAACAAGGUAGCCGUAGGGGAACCUGCGGCUGGAUUACCUCCUUU
rnacentral:rRNA from 1 species